AUAUAUACACACUACAAAUGUAUGGCUCAUUCAACUUUUGUUGCUAUAUAAUUUUACGGAUCGGAUUUAUUGUUGUCACAUUUGCUUAUUUUUACUUGUAUUCUAAGUGUAGAUCCUUGACCUGAGUCAUACCUGUCAGUCAAUGGUAAGCAGCAUGAAGACAAAACUAAGGCAGCAUCUGAAAGUCCUUAUUCAUUACACCAAAAGCUCAUUACCUGCUGGAGACCAUACAGAGAACAUGCAUAUGUAGGAUAAAUAACUGAUCCAAAGAAAAAGCAGGAAAAGCUUCAUUUGACAAACCAUAAACUUUAACCAAAACAUGCAAAAAAGUCACAGUGUCCUAAUGUAUGGCUAGAACUUAUGAGGAGGAACUGAGAAAUGCCUCUGUACUUCCAUGACAAAAUGAAAUCAGUAGCCCUGUUGCAGUGGGUGCCUUUGACUCUUGCCUGUUACUCCACAUGUAGAAGACGCAUUUAAGUGGCAAACAGAUAGACAUGGACUGAUUUUGUGUCCAGCAAGUGUGUCCUACCUCACAGCCCAUCCAGUUCACACUCACAGCAGGCUGAGCGUCCUCAUGCACAUAUGGAGUCACAAGAGCGUGGCAAAUUUGCUCUCACAUUUCUUUCAACUUCUCAUUGCAGACAAGUAUUAAGACAGCCUGUCAGUGCUGUAAAUGCAGACCUCUUUCCCAUGUGGAGAAACAACCACCCAGAACAGAGCAGAACAGAUGCAGAACACCCUGCACUAGCUACUCCACUCAUGUCCCACCCUUGUAGGGCACUGGGCUGGAGAUUAGGAUAUCAUUUUCUGCUGGAAUUAAUUUCACCCAAAGACAGUAUACUUACUUUCAAUAUAUAUUUUUUCCCCAACAAGCUAAGAUAAAUUUCUGCUUUGGUCCAUUAACAAUACUUGUAUUUUUAAUCAGAAUUAUUUUGUACUGUAUUUUCUUUGGAAAUAGAAGUAAUACAGUUUAUGUGAAAUACAAACAAAUGAGGGAACCAUUUUUACCUAAAUGUAUGAAUAGCAUUUUGCAAUUUGUCAUUGUGAUAUAUUUAUCUUUUGAACUUUAAAUGAGCUCAGCUGAAAAAAAUGCUUCUCUUCGUCACAUGACUGGAAAAUAUAUUACACCACAGAAGAAUAUUGCUGUUUUAGUUUAGAAAAUAGAGGCUAGAUAUAAUUUUCCACUAUACUUACUUUCACAAAGUAUGGAGUAAAUUAUUUACUCUACAGUAAAUUCUUAGUACAUAUUCCAAAAGGUGGUAAAUUCAGCAUUCUCGCUUAAAUUAAUGGAUCUUUUGUGAAUGUGUGUUAAAACUAAGACCCUUAAGACCUUGUGUUGCCCGCUGAAGCCUUAAAACCACUCUAAUAUGGCUAGUACAAAACAAAUUUCAACAAAAUGAAGCCUGGAGGAAGGAAACCAGUUUGGAACAGAAAGACAAAGACUGGCCAGUGGAGUGACAGCAGAGAAGCAUCUGAAGGUUUGGGUUUGCUGUCUGUGUGACACCCGUGCCCUUCUAGAGGCGCAGGGUAUGCUGGUGAGUACACCAGGGCAGUGUUUGUGCCCAGAGCUGCCCAGACGCAGCGGUGCCGCUGGUUUCCAGCCAGGCCUACUGCACCACGGGCUGCGGCAGCUCCGUGCCCAGGCUCCGCGCCCGCCCUGGCUUCCCUGCACACCCGCACAUGCGUAUCUGGAGUGCAAAGGAAGGUCCAGGGCUUAGAGCAUCAGUUGGGAGCUCAGGAAAUGGAGACAAUUCCUGUUCAUUCUUGCCUGACCUAGGGCAAACCACAUACACACAACAACUUGGAAGUGUUUGGAUACCUACCUCCCACUUAGCCGAGCAAGAAUGAAAAUCUGUGCCCUAUCAGGAAAACACAGAUAACUGACUCCAGUGAAUGGGCAGAAAGGGCAAGAGAUGGUGUACCAGUUAUAUGCUUCAUAAUCCUCUCUUCUUCAGGGCUGUAUAGAUUUGAAAAUUACAAUCAAGAGGGAAACUAAUGAAACAAGGAAUAAGGAGUUGAAAUUCAUCUCAGUUUUGAUCCAAAAGGGACCACCAGACUGUUUUUGCAAGAUUCUGCCACUGCUGUGGUCAUCAGAGAAAUCAACUGAAACCAUCUUAGUUUUGAAGGGAUGUUGCCAGAAACACUGACAAGAACUGCUAUACCAUGGCUUUAAAAUUAUCAGAAAGAAACUAAGGAGCACAGUCGCAUCUCCCAGAAGGUCAUUGGCUGAUGAAGGAUCACAAACCCAAACAGAAGGAAGCUUGAUGUCGAUUUACUGGCAUAUAAUGCUCCCUGUGCUUAAUUGUUUAGAUCAAACACUGGUAACUUCCAAUACAGUAAGUUCAGCUUCACAAGUUGAAGGUUUGUAUUUCUUCAGCUCUCAUUCUUUCUUCAGUGUUUUAAACUGGUUGUAUAUAUGGUUAUAACCAUCUAGUUGCUUUCUUUGUGCUUGCUAAGUUCAUGGUCUGAAACUUGCAGCAAUCUGUUCCUUUACCUGUUUACCACAUUAAGUCACAUUGCAAAAUCCACUCACAUUUGAGUGACCUUCAGUUACACUGGAGAGUAAGCAUCAUAUUUGUCUUACCAGCAUUGGUCACUACUUCAUGCAGCCUGUAAAAAGACACACAAUAAACAGUUCCUGUCUUGUCAUUUGUUUUAGCUGGAUCUCCCAUCUGACAGACAUUCCAACGAAUUACCCAUCUAUGCCCUGCUUUCUUGCCUUUAUAGCUCAGAGUUCAGCUUUGAUCGACCUAUCAGUUGCUUUGACAAGCUAUAAUAAAGGAAGAAAAAAAAGCCACACAGCUAUAAUUACACCUUGCUCUUUCAGAAAAUGUGACCAGCUUUCAAAAGCUAUCCAACACUGUGAGAACCUCACUGACGUAACAGCACUGCUGCCAGAAAACUAGCAGAAGCAAAAUUAGCCAACUGAGAAUAUUCGUGAACUUUGAGAGAGAGAACUGGAGACCUGUCUUUGAGGAGCGCAGCAGAAGUAAUACAGUUCUGUAGUAUGGUUUUCCUGUGAUGAACUAGCUGUUCCAAAAGGCUCCAUACUUUCAGAGUCUGCCAAAGCUGACUGAAGGAAACAUCCAGUCAAAGUCUGUAACUUAGGACCAAGUUUUCCAAUUGCUUGGGCAGUUUCUGACUUGUACAGGUAGCAGUAAAGAGCAAUGGAUUCAUAUUUCACAAAGCUCAGGUAAAAUGCAAACAUGGAUGAGGGUCUCCUGAGAAAACUUUGUGGAGUUUGCAUGUACUUUUUCUCUCUUUGACAAUACUAGCAGUAAUCUGCAAGGAGUUCUUUCUUCGCUCCCUCACUGGUUUUUGACUGGCUUAUGUUUACAGAAUCAAAAUCAGAAUCAUUGAGGAGAGAUAGGGAAAGCAUGAAAACUGAGGUAAAGCAAACAGGUAAUUAACAACCUUUGUUGGUACCAAACAAAACCUUACCCAUGAGCUUUUGUUUACAUCCCCCGUGUACUAUUUGCUCUGUCUCUCAUUUUUUACAAUCCUACAGAUGAGUUAACUGAGAGGAUCUAUCUCUAUAAAAUAGGGAAUCCAUUUUAGUGGGUUGACUGAGUUAGUUGGCUAGUCCUCCCAUUGGAGCAAUUUGCUAACAGCAGGAGUGUAUCCAGCAAAAUGUAGCUCUUCACACAGACCUCCCAAGUUGUCCCAUUUCUCUAUCAGAGAAACUUUUGUGAGGCCUGGGGAAGGGAGAGUCCUUCUGUAAAAAUAUAAAUAAAAAUGCCAUGUCUAGGUGGAACCCUGGAAAAAUUCCAUGGAAGACUAUCUCAUUAUGAACUCUUUCCCUACACACUGUACGCUAAUCUGAAAUAUUAAAGAGCAAGACACAAUACUAGCAGGGAAAGCAGAGAGGCUUCAAGUAAGUGGGAUCCAGACUCAUUUACUUUUGCUUUUUCAGAUUAUCUAGGAGAUCUUGGGUGAGAGACACAGCUGCUGUGCCUCAUUUUCUCCUCAGAAAAUAAAAAAUAAUUAAUGCUAGUGAUGUGCCUCCCAGAACCAUCUGAAGAGAUAAUUUACUAGGAUUUAUAAAAAUCUUGUGAGGAGCAAUGUAUUUUUUAAAUAAAUAAAGUGAGUGUAGCCCAUACUCCAAGUGGCUAGUGCAAUACACAGAACAAGGAUUAGCCUGUAAACUAUAAUCCUUAACAUUAUUCUGUAUGAUGUGCAGUGUUCUGCUCAGAGAUGCUAUCUUGUUGUCGGCACUUUUCUUCAAAAUAGUUACACUAUAAAAUCUAUCUCAAAUCAGCUGUCUGAGCAGGAAUUGAAUGUGUUUGGUUUGCAAUUGUUUUGAAGGUUUCUAAACCCUGAUAGUUCCCCCAGAGAAUUGCAUUUGCUUUAGGCAAUCCUUAAAGCUAGCAAGAGGAGAGCUACACAAAGGCAGAUUUGAGGCUGUUAAAAUGGUUAUAUUGGGUUGUGCAUUUGACUUGGCUUUCAGGAGAAUAAAAUGGUUUAUAUGGGUGUGGGUGAGAGAAUAACUUAAAAGUGGGAGUUGUGCACCUGAACUACUAAGCUAUUUGUCUCUGUGUUCCUUAAUACCUAGUUUCUGUCUCCAAAAAUGCACACAGGAGUAUUUUCAGGCUAAGGAUAUAUUAUAGUCUCUCAUCAGUUAAACAAGUGGGACUGAAAAAUACCAGGUUUUCACUAUUUCUUUUCUCUAAUGCCUGUUUCAAUAGAGAUAUGAGUUCUGGGAGCACUGUAUGACUUCAUGCUUUUUUUUUUAUUUUUAAUUUUUUCCCCAGAAGUAAUGAUAAAGAAGUAACAUGAAAGACUAGCCUGAACAAAAUCUUCGAACUAGAAGAUGAACCAGAUAACAGAUACACAUUUCCCAAUUCACUGCUAUUUGUUCUUGUGAAUUUUUGGCAAAGCAAGUGCUCCCUUGAGUUCCCAGAUGCCCUAUUCAAUUGCACAACCCAAAGUACGGGCAACUUUUCACAAAAAAAGGAAAUAGGAAAAUAGAAUCUAUGAAUCACCAUUUCUGAGUGCAAGGACGUUUUAAAUUCAUUUUGGUUUAUAUUUAAGAAAAAAAUUUGCAUACAAACUUGCCAGAAUGUAUGUUAGUCAAAAUGUACUAUGCUCCCCUAGAAGGAGCUGGGGAGGGAGAAUAUGAACUGCAACAUUCCCUGGGCUUCUGCAAUACUGCAUCUGCUCUCAAUUAAAGUGAGAUGUGGUUUCUAGGACUGUAUCUAUAGUAUUUAUCUUACAACCAUUUUUAAGAAUUAUUUUGCAAUGAUUUUAUGAAUUGCAAUUGCAGCUUGAAGAAAGGGGUGUUACAGUAGUGACCAUAUUGUCUGCAUAUUCUUUCUGUUAAGAAUCCCAGUACAUAUCAUGUUACUGUCAGAGAUUUAAGGAACCAUCUAUGAAGUACCAGGACGUGAACAAGAUUUAAAUAAUUAAAUCCACUACAUCCAUGGAAGAUACUCUCUAUUGAGGAACAAAAGGAGAGAAAAUGUACAUGCUUCCAAAAGCCUAGAGAAAGACACCUGGCAAACCACUGUCACUAGCUUCUGCACAGUGGAAAACAAACACAGACAAGCUUUGAACUUAAAACUCUUAAGUGCAUAAAAUAGGGCUACAUUCUUCUACGUAAUUUUUUCCAUCCCCCUUCAUCUGAAGCCAGUGGGGAACUUCCAUCUCAGUUAGUGACCAGCUCAAACAUUAAUAUGCAAGGUUAAGAAAGGGCAUUCUGUUUAAGAAGGAUAAAAUCUACCAAUCAAUUCUAAUUCAAUCCCAAAUAGUUCCCAGAAACAGAUCUAUUCAUACCUGCCAUGUGAAAUCACUGCUCGCAGCAUAUGGCAGCUGUCAGAUGAUCUAUGUUAUAGCAUAGUUUCUGCUUUCCCCUGACUCUGAGUGGUUUAUUAAUAUUUACCAGCUUUGUGUGAAAGGGGUGGUUACAGCCAAAAUUAAUUCCUUCUGCCCUUUCUCUUGUCAGCCCUACCAAAAUAUUACCCCUCCUGUAUGGUGUAUGGUACAACCAGGUAGCUCUGCUAGCGGCUGAGCAAGGUAAAAAUACCCACCUUAUGCUUAUGAUGUAGGGCAAAAAGAAGACCCCAAACCAAAUAUUGAGAGUUCCCUUAUCCACCCCCAGCAUCAUUCCACACUAGCAGAUGUUGUCCUCUCAGGUAUCCUGCAACUCAAAACAUUCAUAGAGUCUAACUGGGCCUGCUCAGCCCCACCCACAGAAACUGGACUAUAAGAACAGCAAAACUAGAGAAUAUGAGUGCUUGAAAACUCCAGAGGGCAUAGGUACUUCUGAUGAAGCAACCUUUAGAGGCAGACAUGAGGGUCCAGAAUGAGCAGGGUUGGUGGGUCAGUUUGACAGCCAGCUCCUCUUGUUCUUUGGACAGAUCACAGAUGUGUCCCAAGAAUCUAAUCAGGAUAAUCCUUUGCCAGGUAUAUGUCGAUUACAGAAUAUAAAACAUAAAAAUCAAGCCUCCAAAGCUCUAAUAGGUGCAGUAACAGAGGAAAAAAUACUUUGUGUUCUGAUCUGCUUUUAAGGAUUAGCCCCGCCAACAAAACCACAGAAAUGUCAACAAGCCCAUCACUUAACCAAUAUGAGGUCUGCAAAACUGUACUGAACUAGUUUAAUUCAUAUAGUUUUGGAAAAAAGGGUUAGUCCAGAAAUGUUUCCCCAAUAGAAGCAUAAAUUAUCCACAAUAUUUAGGCAGAAGGCUGUGCAGUAGACAUGUCCAUAUAAUCAGGCAUUCCGAUUUUUGAAUGGUUGAGAACAUUCUGUUUUUUCAUAGCAGCCACUACAGAGAAAAAGGUAGUGACCACUUGUUACCAGUCAGUGUGAAAGUUAGUACUCUUCCCAACCCAGCAAUCCAAGGUCACUGGCCAGCUUAAUAUUAAAAAGAUAACUUUACAAAGCUGUGUGCUGCAUUACUAUUGAAACAAUAACUUCUAAUUACAGCACAGCAUAUUAGAGCUCCUUUGCUGUCACUAAAAAUAUUUUGGAAGAUGAAAUAGUUGAGAAUUUCUAUAUUCCAGAGAAAGGGCAAAGAAGCAGAAAAAGCAGGCAGCAGUUAGUGGUUUCAGAUGGCCCUUCCCACUUGAAUUGUUAGUACCUGACACUUUUUCAGCCACCCCUUAUUAAUAUUUACAGACUACAGUAGUAGACUGCUACACUGAUGUCACAGAAGAAAAUAAUUAACAUUUCUCAAGCAGCUGAAGCAGUGAAAAAAAGAGAAAAAUUCAUGUCAACAGAUGUGUUUUACCACUAAUGAUCAUGAAACCAUGAUAGUUUUAAUUGCUUAGACUUCCCCUUAUAAUAAGGUCACCAUAAAUUGUUGACUAAAUAAAAAAUAACAUCAAUAUACAUAACACUGAAAGCAGAUGACUGAGAUUUUUGAACCAGAAGCCAUUGCUGGAAAAGGACAAAUGCUUUUGAGAGCUGGUCACCUAUUUGCUAGAUAUAUUGUUUUAAAAAUAAAUCUAUGGUUCAUGGCAACUAGAUAAUUUCUUUCAAGGCUCUGAAUGUGCUCCAACCAAUCUGUAAAGAGCGGUCCUAUACUGAAAUUGGCCAUUGACAGAAAGCAAAAUGGGAGACAAUUCAGCAACUUCCAGAGUACCAGUUUAACUAAUCAAAUAAGUUUGCUUAUAGGUCCCAGUCCUGCAAGAAUCUAAGAGUAAUAAGUCCUUGGUCUCAACAGAAUUUGAGGAGGAUAAGCACCUUGAAGGUUCAGUUCUUAAGACAAAAAAUAAGUCAGAAGAAAACUUUCAUGAGGACCUAUGAAGAUCGUAAAAACAUUUAGCAAAAUGUGAAGCAAUUGGGAUAAUUUAGAGGAGUGCUGCAAAUAUUUAUUCUCAAGUGACAAGAGACUGAGUGGACCAGACAAACUUUUUAAAGGCAGUAAGUGAGAUCAUAUUAAUUGAAGCACUCUUCCACUUGAGACCUUCAUACAAUUAAAAAAAAUAAUGCUCUGAAGUCUAUAUACUUAAUGUGUUCCACAAAAGCCACCAACAAUAAACUUAUUUAUAAACAAUCUAAAUUUGUGGCUUCACUUUAACUAGUUGACAUAUCUUAGUGGUAGAGUAGAACCUUAAUAAGCACAUUUGCAAGAUUUUUGUCAUGGAUUAUACCAAAGUGUCUACAUAUGUAUAGAUGUGCUAUGGCACUGAACAGCCUGCUGUUCACAGACAAGGAUUAGAAAGAAAAAAGUUACUUUGUACAGUCCUUUCUUCUUACAGAAUGUACUAUGUUAGUCUUCUCUUUUCAGAUUUCUUUCUGUUUACUUGAAAAUUGCUAAACUAUAUUUACAUGGAUAAUGAGUUAUUAUCAUUACAAAUAGACUCUAUUAUUAGACUGGUAGCUGCUAACUGCAUUACUCUGUGACUAUCCUUUUAAAAUGUACUCUAAUGGAUAGUCCUAACUACUCUUUAAAACUGAGGGGAGAAAAAAAAUUGAGUUGGUAAAGUCUUAAUCUGUUAAUCUGUUCAGGAUUCUUUCUCACUUUUUGGGGUCUCAGAAGGAAAUGGCAGGAUAACAAUCCCACUAAGUGGACUUAGGUUCUGAGAUCCCAGGUUAUUCAGUGCUCAGCAAUAGCUCUUUUAGUUGUUCACUAUAGAAAAAACUGAUGUUGAUCGGUUUAUGAAUUUUUUUAAAAAUAACCAUAUUGUCAGGAAUUACACGUGUAAUCAUGGAAAAAGCCACUAUCAACAGUUUUUCCCAAUACCAUUUUUUUACCCUUUCUGCAUCUUCCACCUUCCAACUCUGGCCUUCCAGUUUCUUAUGGCCAUUCCCUCAAAGCCAUCAGAAAACUGGGAGAUACCUGAAUAUGCUGACUCUUACCUUCUGCUCAUUUCUUUUCAAAGCACCCUCUUCAUUUGUUAACAGUGAGCAAGAACAGGCAACCCUCUAAAGUUGCUAAAAGGAGAGUUGCUAUAAUGAGAAGAGAAAAUAAACUCAUGUGAGCAUUCAGCUGUACACAGGCUGUGGAGCAACUUUAAACUGAAGCACUUGUGGCUUUGUUUGAGUAUCAUUUCACAAGGGCCUGAGAAGGGGACUGGAAUUACUAGUGAAAAGGCAUAGCAUGAAAAAUGGAAAUAACAGGUGCAUGUUUUAAUAGCAUUAGCCAGCAACACCUGUAACUGAUAGACCAGAGUAUGGGACUUCCAAUAAAUGGAUACUGUCCAUCUCUGUAAUUAUAUGCUGGAAAAUUUCAUUUCUAAAAUCUGUGAUAAAUUACUACAGAACGGAAGGCGUGCUGGCACCUUUCCAGUCACUGUCUUAGCCUCAUUUCAGGCUUUGCCCAAAGGACCUGCAUUAGAUAAGCAAAAGAUUAGGGUGGAUGCAUCUGGACAGAAUCUGAAUGAGGGCGGAAUACAGACUGCUUGUGUAUCUGAAGCAACACCACUAUGGGAAGAAUUGUGGUUCCCACAGACUAGCAAAGAACAUCAAGGCUGACAAAUGCACGGAGAAAAUGGGGGACAGUAAUUUUCUGAGGAUGAUGAAACAAAGACAAAGAUCAUGCAGGGUUAGAAAAUUGGUAUUAAAUGAAAAAUAUUUGUGCACCGAUCACAAGCAUAAUUUCCCUUGAGACUAACCAAGUGUGAGGAUAAAUGUCUGGAAGCAGUCUCUGCACUAGGGUUCAGAAGAAAGGAACAAGGAAGCAAAGCAAAGCUGUAUGAAAUCUGAAUACAGCAGUGCUAUACGAUACUUCCGAGCAGUUCCAUUAAAACAGGAUUUUCUCCCAUCCCACAGAGGUUUAACUGCCUUUCAGACAUAUUUAAUUUUACACCAGACUUCCAAGUAAGUACAAAUUGAUCUCAGCACUUUUCAACAACAUUUGUUAGGCCAUUUUAAAAGUUGGAAGCCAGUUGUAGUUUGGGAGCUGUUUUACAGCUGAAAACUAGCUGGUUUGUGUUUUAUAAAACCAGUCCAUAAUGGUAAUUAGCUUCAUCAAAAACCAUUGACAUAAUAAUAAUUGAGCAGUUUAAUAUUUUCAAAUUGACUACUAAAUACAUGUAAUGCUUUUACAUCUAAAAAAUGUUGUGGGUGAAUUUGGUGCAUAUAAAGGCAAAGGACAAACCACACUACCACAAGUCAAGGACUGCAUGCAGACACUGCUCAAGCUUUCACAUACAGCUAUUCACACAUAGCAUUCAAGUACUUAUCUGCAAUACUUCAAUGUAAGACGUGGGCAAAUUCACCACACCUCUUUCUCCUCCCAUGAGUAUUCCCACUGACAUCAUUCAGUCCAAUGGACUGCUCAAAGUCAUAAGAAUCAAAAGAACAAAGUUAUUUCUUCCUCUAGGACACAAUUCAAAAAUCUCAUUACUUUUAGAUUUACAAAUCAUGUGAUCGUGUCUGGAGUUGAUCAAAAAAAUUGAAUAUUCUGAUACUGUAAAUAACAGCUUUCAGGGAAAAUUCUACUCAGUAAAAGCUUUGAUAUCUCAUCCUUGCUCUGGUUAUAAACACACAUCAAAAAUAUUAGAGUUUCUUGCUGAAUGAAUGUUUCCUUCUCCAAUCUAUAUGAC